UUAGGUCAUUGUGAGAAUUAAAGGAGAUACUCAGUAAAUGGUGGCUAUGAUUAAAAUUCAUGCAUUCAUUCAGCACAUAUUUGCUGUAUUUGUUACAAGUUGAAUUGUACCCUCCCCCUAAAUUCACUUUUGGAAAUGCUAACCACAAUACCUCAGAUUGGGACCUUAUUUGGAUGUAGGGUCUUCAGAGAGGACAUCGAGUUAAAAUGAGGUCAUUAGGUGGAGUCUAAUAAGACUGGUAUUAUUAUAAGAGGAAGGAAUUCGGACACAGAAACUCAACAAAGAGAAGAUAAACUUACAGAAAAAGGAAACAGCCAACUACAAGCCAAAGAGAGAGGCCUGGAACAGAUAUUUCCUUCACAGCCCUCAUAAGGUGAUGUAGAUGUGAUGUCUGGAGCUUUAAGAACUAUCUUGGGACCAUGAGGCAACAAACAUAAGGUGAAAUGUGAACAUGCUGAGAGAAAAAAGCAAGGAUCUGAGUACUUCAUGGAAUCAUGAAACAGC
rnacentral:lncRNA from 10 species